AGAGCAUUUAAAUUAUAAUAUUGCAGGGUUGGGAGGCAGUGGAUAGUUGGUAUGCGGAGUGUUUAAAUUAUAAUUAUAAUAUAGAACCAACCGAUACAGAAACAGGUCACUUCACGCAGUUAGUUUGGUCGACAAGUCGGCGGCUGGGUGUAGGUUUGGCCCGUAGCUGCGCGGGUCGGCAUAUUGUUGUUAUGAAAUACGAUCCGCCGGGCAACUACGUCGGACAGUACACCAACCAUGUUUUCAAACCGGUUUUAUAAUCUUAUUAUGUAAACAAUAUUUAAUUACAAGAAAAAAUGCAAAUUCUUUGAAAUAUAUAUAUAUUUUAUCAAU